CCGGUUCUCAGUGAGUUCGAUGGCAUCUGAUCUCACAGAUGAAGAUCCAGAUGAGAUGCUUCUCCGCAUGCCCUCACUGCCUUGAGCUGAAUUUCUGCUGAUAGAGCCGCGCACAUGGGAAUCAUCUUCAACUAUUUCGGGACAAAACCACCCAAGGCGAAAAGCAGGAGCAGUGCAAAUAGACCAAAUGUGUUUGCGACAAUCAUGUUCCUACCGGCUGAACCAAUAAACCUGAACAAUCCUGAUGCCGCCUGAUGCAUAAACAGAAGCAGAAGGUACUGCUUCAGUAACCUGCAAAUGGGACUCUUUUUCAGUUACUACAUUUGAAGAAGGGACCGAGAAUAUUAUCUGAGGUGUAUUUUGUAACUGUUACCUUGUUAUGUUUGGGUCGAAUCCAAUCACGUAGUAGGUGACAAAUACCCAUAAAGCAACUUCAAGGAAGGUGACAGGGAUUUUCAGGAUCCAUGAGGGUAUAGCAUAUGCCCAAGGGGGGAAGAAGUACAUAUCCCUUUGUUUGUAGAAUACAGGUAGCUUGUAAAUCGUCAUGGCAAGCUCAGACAUACCGUUGAACAUGACAAGAAUGACAGCGAAAAACAGAGCACCGGUAUAUAUCCCCCCGUCUCCUAUGUCAUCUUUACCCAUCUCUGUUCUCAGGAAGAGUGUAAUCGCAAUCAAUGACAUCACAGAAAUCUGAAACCAGAUAUAGAUAAUUUUCGUUAGCAAAUUUUUUUCAACUAAAUAUAAUAGACAAGCACAUGGUUUCACGUUUAUAAGCUUGCCUGGAAGAUCUUGAAGUAGAAGACAAAUGAGUUUCUCUUCAUCAGCAAGUAUUCUCUGUCGGCACAGGCUUUUAGAAGUUCUUUUUUCCCAAUACCGUACUUCUCUGUUGUCAAAGCUGCAGGGUGGCUUUUGGUCUUAUCAAAUGGGAUUGAGAGCUCAUCUCCAAUCCUCCGUCCAACAACGUAUGAUUGGAAGGCCUCUGCAAAUUCACUAACUGAGACAUAUCGGUAUGGCUCAUUCUUUCUUGCCCAGUAUUGCUUUUGAUCUUUCUUUGAAGUUACCUGCAUUAGUUUCAUUCUUUUCAUUAGACCCAUUGAAAGGCUAUAUAAAAUGAAGGAUUCCUAACUUUUAUCAUUUCUUUUGCUUACUUCUUGUAAGAAAUCAGCCACUCCUUUCCGUACUGGGCAUGCAAAACCCAUGGACUCAAAGAAGUCUAACACAUUUUCUCGAGGACCCUGAUAGACGAUCUGACCAUCGGACAAGAGAACAAUGUCAUCAAACAGAUCAUAGGUCUCGGGUGCUGGCUGCAGCAGGGAGAUAAAUGCAGUUCCUUUCAUAAUGUGGACAUAUUGUCGAAGCAUAUUCACUAUUUGGAAAGUCGUCGAACUAUCCAAACCAGUGGAUAUCUCGUCCAUGAAAAGUGCCUUUGCUGGUCCAACCAGCAUUUCUCCUGUGAUUUUUCACACCAGAAAUCAGUGUCAAGAAAUACCCCUUAUCAUCUCGUCUCCGACUAAAGUGUCGGCACAGAUUUCAAGCCCCAGAACCUGGAAAAAGAACAGGAGAAUCUUGAGAACACUGAGCUAUUGGAAUUGUUAGAAUGCUCAUUAAAUUUCGAGUUUAAUAUCUGCUCCAGGUACCUUAAGAACAUAAUCUGUAACAACAUUUGCUGCAUCUCCUUCUGUUGCUGCUGCCUACAUAAUAAGAAACAAAUUUUAAAUUUUGUGUGAAAAUAUCGAUAGUCCUGACUUCAGCCGAGUUGUCUAAUUGUUGAUUUUGUCUGAAACAAUAUUGAUUGUCCAAAAGCAGUGCCUGUGCUAUUUCAGUACUCAGUUAUGUUUUUCACUGCACAAUUGUGUAAAUUACUAAGAUAUCCUAACUCCUAUUAGUUGUUAGCUCAAGCCAAUACAUGCUAGUGAAUUAGUUUUCAUUUCUUUUUUGUUGGAUAUAUGUUAUUUGUAUUAACUUAUUAAUGAGCAUUUAGUAUUUAUGUUUUUAUGUGAAGAAUAUCAUUGUUUUAGGGAAAUUAAUUAAGUUAACUUUAGUUUGAGAUACAAAGCUAUUAGCGAUUAUUCUAAAUUUUAUCAUGUAAGUUAUUAGGACAUGUUGAUAUUUGAUUAAUCUUAGUACCUCACAUUGAAAAAGAUCUAUUUGUAAUACUAAUUGUUACCAGUAAAUUUUUUGCAACAAUUUUAGAAUACAAAAGAUAUAAAUUUUAAAAGAUAAAUGUUAGUAUUAGUCAUGUCUAGCUAUUAUUUUUUAAUGAUGCACUAUACUUGAGAUAAUAUUUUGAUUUUACUACAAAACUUAAUUUUAUUUUUACAUUUAUAUAUUUAUUUUAAUAUUAUUUGCUUCUGAAGUUUUUUCCCCAUUACCUGUAUUCGUUUAUUGGUUUUUUCUUUUCGCGUUUGCCGCUUCAUAGACGAGUACUCUUUUCCCUUUUUAAGGUUUUUCCCAUUGGGUUUUCCUUAAAAAGGUUUUAAUGAGGCUCGGCCCUUAAUUAGCUUUUUUUGUGCUUUCAAGGGUUUAGGUUCUUUUUAUUUUUUCCUUUAUAUAUAGUCGCAUUUUAAUAAUUAUUAUAAAUUGGACCCCGUGAAACGAAAUCCGGGCUCCAUAAUUCAGUUAGAUUUUUAGUUUCAAUUCAGGAAAUCAUAUAAAAAUUAAAUUGAAUCCCAUUUUUUUUUUUGCAAUUUUCUAGUUGUCAAUCUAUUCUACUCAACCCUUUUGUAAAUCAUUGGGAUACGCCAAAGAUCUUGCUAAUGAAAUCUAUAAAGCUAGAGUAGUUAAGUGGGCUCAAAAAAAUGUUUUGUUUUACUUUAUUUAAAGAUGUGCAGAUACUUAGCGUCAAGACAUAAUGACAAUAAUUGGCAUUAAAUAAACCAAAAAUCUGUCGCUUUGUUGGAAUCAAAACUCUCUUUUCCUGUCAAAUACUUCAAAUAGGAUUAUCUCCAACCAACUACUGUUGAAAACUGUCUUGCAAAUCAAAAGAUAGCCGCCACCUCCCUUUUCCUAAGAUUAUACUCACACACAUAGGUACAUAUAUAUAUAUAGUGUGUGUGUGUUUACCUUCAUGUAGAUAUCAACAUCAUGAUCUGGUUUGAUAUUUGCUGCUUUCUCUCUUCGUGACAGCUCUGCCAACAUAUCUGUUCAAGAAAUCCAAAUAAGACAACACUUAACUUAAAACAUAAAUAGGGAGUACAUUUUUCUGGUCAUGCUGGCUUAUGUAUGCUGCAGUUCUUUGAGGUACAAAUUCAUGCAUUUCAUGCCCAUUGUAAGUAAUUCUCCCCGAAACCUGCCCAAAUAUUUCGUUUUCAUACUUCAGAAACACGUUCGAUUCUCUAUCAAUCAUGUCCACACACACAAAAAAAAAGGACUGUUUACUUUGAGGGUUGGAUCAAGCUUUCCGGCCAAAGCAAGCAAAAGUGUAGUUUUCCCAGAACUUGGAGGACCUAACAGCAGAGUCAUUCUGCAUGGUUUGAUAAUUCCACUAACAUCCUUAAGAAUUGUAAAAGGCUUCUUUCUACUUGGAAGUAUGUGUAGUGCGUUCAAGAAUCCCUGCACACACAAAAAAAUGAUUUUUUUUCUAUGUAUAUGUAUAUGUAUGUUCAGUUUCUUGUUUUUGCUUUUACCUCAACCAGAUUUAUGUGGAAGUUGACAAAAGUAGGCAGAGCCCUGCUUGCACUAAAGGCUUCCGCAUCGAUAUUCAGAUGCUCAUACCUCACUUCUAUGGUUGGAAUAUCGAUCCCAACUCUGCAGAUGCAAGAAUUCAUGCAUAUUAGAAAUCAAAGAACUCAAUCAAAAUCAUUCAAAACACACACACACACACACACCUAUCAAUCCUGUUUCUGAGCUUUAACAAGAACUUCUCAUUAUCUUCUUCCACAGUUUGGACCAGCCUCUCGACGAGCUGCUUCUUGUCUUGGAUUCCCAGAUCAUGCACCUCAACCUCGUUGGCGCCUCUUGAUCCGAGCAGCAAGCCUCUCCUCAGGCGAUCGAACGUGGGCAGUUUCUCGAGCGCAGCCCACUUCAAGGCCUCCUCAUCAUCUUCUUCACGCGAUGAUCGUGUGAACACUUCCAACCCUGUGUUCCUCCAUAUGUUCGAGCUGUUCACUCUGAAGCUUUCACCUCGUUUGCUGCUUGAUCUCAAGCUACCACUCGCUUUGUACAGAUCGCCCGCAUCCAUUCUUGCACCACUCUCUCUCUCUCUCUCUUCUUUGUUUAGCAGCAGGAGUACUAGAAAAGGGAGUGCUGUGGAAUUCAAGAACUGGGAAGAAAGAGUGCAGUUUCGUUGUUGUGGAAAAAAUGGUGGUGUUUUGUUUGAAGAGGGAGAAAGAUUGUUUUAUACAUAGUUUGUCAAGAUAACAAUUUGAGCCUGCAGUCAAGGGAGGGGCUGAAUAUUCAAAAUUUGAGGGAUUUUUUAAUGUUGGAAAUUCUGUUUUUAUUGGAAAUAUUUAACGAUGUUUCUUACUUCUUGGAAA